rnacentral:rRNA from 1 species
GACGAACGCUGGCGGCGUGCUUAACACAUGCAAGUCGAACGGAAAGGCCCUGCUUUUGUGGGGUGCUCGAGUGGCGAACGGGUGAGUAACACGUGAGUAACCUGCCCUUGACUUUGGGAUAACUUCAGGAAACUGGGGCUAAUACCGGAUAGGAGCUCCUGCUGCAUGGUGGGGGUUGGAACGUUUCGGCGGUUGGGGGUGGACUCGCGGCUUAUCAGCUUGUUGGGGGGGUAGUGGCUUACCAAGGCUUUGACGGGUAGCCGGCCUGAGAGGGUGACCGGCCACAUUGGGACUGAGAGACGGCCCAGACUCCUACGGGAGGCAGCAGUGGGGAAUAUUGCACAAUGGGCGGAAGCCUGAUGCAGCAACGCCGCGUGCGGGAUGACGGCCUUCGGGUUGUAAACCGCUUUCGCCUGUGACGAAGCGUGAGUGACGGUAAUGGGUAAAGAAGCACCGGCUAACUACGUG